GUGGCUUCCGGAGCUAACGCGUUAAGUAGACCGCCUGGGGAGUACGGCCGCAAGGUUAAAACUCAAAUGAAUUGACGGGGGCCCGCACAAGCGGUGGAGCAUGUGGUUUAAUUCGAUGCAACGCGAAGAACCUUACCUGGUCUUGACAUCCACGGAAGUUUUCAGAGAUGAGAAUGUGCCUUCGGGAACCGUGAGACAGGUGCUGCAUGGCUGUCGUCAGCUCGUGUUGUGAAAUGUUGGGUUAAGUCCCGCAACGAGCGCAACCCUUAUCCUUUGUUGCCAGCGGUCCGGCCGGGAACUCAAAGGAGACUGCCAGUGAUAAACUGGAGGAAGGUGGGGAUGACGUCAAGUCAUCAUGGCCCUUACGACCAGGGCUACACACGUGCUACAAUGGCGCAUACAAAGAGAAGCGACCUCGCGAGAGCAAGCGGACCUCAUAAAGUGCGUCGUAGUCCGGAUUGGAGUCUGCAACUCGACUCCAUGAAGUCGGAAUCGCUAGUAAUCGUGGAUCAGAAUGCCACGGUGAAUACGUUCCCGGGCCUUGUACACACCGCCCGUCACACCAUGGGAGUGGGUUGCAAAAGAAGUAGGUAGCUUAACCUUCGGGAGGGCGCUUACCACUUUGUGAUUCAUGACUGGGGUGAAGUCGUAACAAGGUAACCGUAGGGGAACCUGC
rnacentral:rRNA from 1 species